rnacentral:rRNA from 1 species
GCACCACAAGAACGCGUGGAGCAUGUGGCUUAAUUUGACUCAACGCGGGAAAUCUUACCGGGUCCGGACACACUGAGGAUUGACAGGCAAUAUCUCAUGUAACGGUAAGUUUACUUACCGCUUAACAUCGAGUGUUAAAUAUGCUAGUCCUUUCAUGAUUAUGUGAUAGGUGGUGCAUGGCCGUUCUUAGUUCGUGGAGUGAUCUGUCUGCUUAAUUGCGUUUCACUAAGGGCCCAUAAAUUCAAGGUAUGUUAGCUCUCGUCGCUCUAUGGACCCCUUAACUCCAAUAUUCUUAUUGUGUUAAGCGCGUGUCUUUAUUUUAAGAGUUUUAAGACACUGCGCAUGCUGUUGGGCUCUGAAAGCAACGAACGUGACCGCAACGUCUUGUUGCCUUAAACUAGCGUAUAUUGCAAUUUAUUGNAAUAUCGCUUACAGAGGCUAUUUAAA